rnacentral:tRNA from 1 species
CUGGGUAGCUUAACUGGCAGAGCGCCGCAGCUGAAUCGCGGAGGUUGGGAGUUCGACUCUCCUCCUGG